CUUCUCCAUCUUCCACCCUACUCUCCGACUCCGAAUCAGGACCUCACGACUCACGCGACGAUUGGGCAUGGUAAACGAAGAGGGGGGUUGUAUUCCUUGAUGGUCUCUUCACCACCAAGGGCAGCUCAUACUCAAGGUUCCAGCUCACAAGCUCGCAAUCAACAUCAGAUUUGGCUUUGGCAUCGUCGUCUAGGACAUCCAUCCUUUGGCUAUCUUCAACGUUUGUUUCCGUCUUUGUUUCGUGGC